AUGAGCAAACCUGAAAGUGUUCAAGAAUCCCUUGAUACAAUCACAUUUAUUCACUCUUUUCAAAUUACGACCACCAAGGUUGAGCAUAUGAAGCCGAAACGUUUUACCACGGUCCAUCAGUACUCGCUGAUUAAUUGGGAUAUCGAAAUAUCGGUAUCCCAAAUACUUCAAGAACAUCCCCAAAACCCUGAAGAACCGGUCGUCGAGAAGGUUUUUCGAAUCAGUCUUUAUCCAGCCGGACAACAUCCUCUUCCUGUGCAGAAAGUGGAGUUCAAACAUCCUGCCACCUGUAAAAUUCACCUAUGAGCCUGACAUCACGGACCGUGACGAUUUCGACUGCAUUACACCGGAACGUGGCGUGAUUCGAGACUUUUUGUGCGAGGUGAUCGGAAAUCGGCAAUUCAAGAAAUACAAAUUGGAAAUUCUCACUGUUAUCGUAUUUGAUAUCAACAACUUUUUGAGCCUGAAAUACUUCAAUCGAUUUGUUGGAAAACCGAUGCCAGUCGAAUUGGAUUUCAAAUAUUAUCUGUUGAUGAAUCAAAAGACUCACAACUUCCUUCUCACCACCACUACUCAACAAGGAUUCCCGUGCAAUAAAGAAGCUCUAUACGUGGCUUCUCCAUAUUUUCGCAACCAUCUCACAAGUUCCAUAACCAGUUUUCCACUGGAGGUACAAUUCUUGGAAGCUAUUGAAGUGGUUGUUACCUGGAAGAUUGUGACACGUAAACACAAACAGAGACAGCUCAUCGGGUCGAUUGAAAGUCACUGCUUUGAGGAGCUGAUUAAGAACUGUGAGGACUUGGAUUAUGUGGAGAAGUUGCUCUUUAUGGCUCACACUAAUUAUCUCGGACGUCUUCUCGAAGCCUGCAACGCCACUAUUAUCAGUUUUCAUUUUGCGGAUCUUUGCAGGGACAUCCAACAAAAUAAACGCCUUAAUGAUCGUUACGUGAAGAGUCUCAACGUGAGAAGUUUCAUGAGAAAAGUGCCGCCGGUGGUUAUUGCCAAUCAAGGAUAA
rnacentral:misc_RNA from 1 species